UACGUAGGUGGCAAGCGUUGUUCGGAAUUACUGGGCGUAAAGCGCGCGUAGGCGGCUCUUCAAGUCAGGCGUGAAAGCCCCGGGCUUAACUCGGGAACUGCGCUUGAUACCGUCGAGCUAGAGUGUGGAAGGGGCGAUUGGAAUUCCGUGUGUAGCGGUGAAAUGCGUAGAUAUACGGAGGAACACCAGAGGCGAAGGCGGAUCGCUGGGCCAACACUGACGCUGAUGUGCGAAAGCUAGGGGAGCAAACGGG
rnacentral:rRNA from 1 species